GACGAACGCUGGCGGCGUGCUUAACACAUGCAAGUCGAACGGAAAGGCCCUGCUUUUGUGGGGUGCUCGAGUGGCGAACGGGUGAGUAACACGUGAGUAACCUGCCCUUGACUUUGGGAUAACUUCAGGAAACUGGGGCUAAUACCGGAUAGGAGCUCCUGCUGCAUGGUGGGGGUUGGAAAGUUUCGGCGGUUGGGGAUGGACUCGCGGCUUAUCAGCUUGUUGGUGGGGUAGUGGCUUACCAAGGCUUUGACGGGUAGCCGGCCUGAGAGGGUGACCGGCCACAUUGGGACUGAGAUACGGCCCAGACUCCUACGGGAGGCAGCAGUGGGGAAUAUUGCACAAUGGGCGGCAGCCUGAUGCAGCAACGCCGCGUGCGGGAUGACGGCCUUCGGGUUGUAAACCGCUUUCGCCUGUGACGAAGCGUGAGUGACGGUAAUGGGUAAAGAAGCACCGGCUAACUACGUGCCAGCAGCCGCGGUGAUACGUAGGGUGCGAGCGUUGUCCGGAUUUAUUGGGCGUAAAGGGCUCGUAGGUGGUUGAUCGCGUCGGAAGUGUAAUCUUGGGGCUUAACCCUGAGCGUGCUUUCGAUACGGGUUGACUUGAGGAAGGUAGGGGAGAAUGGAAUUCCUGGUGGAGCGGUGGAAUGCGCAGAUAUCAGGAGGAACACCAGUGGCGAAGGCGGUUCUCUGGGCCUUUCCUGACGCUGAGGAGCGAAAGCAUGGGGAGCGAACAGGCUUAGAUACCCCGGUAGUCCACGCUGUAAACGGUGGGUACUAGGUGUGGGGUCCAUUCCACGGGUUCCGUGCCGUAGCUAACGCUUUAAGUACCCCGCCUGGGGAGUACGGCCGCAAGGCUAAAACUCAAAGGAAUUGACGGGGCCCCGCACAAGCGGCGGAGCAUGCGGAUUAAUUCGAUGCAACGCGUAGAACCUUACCUGGGUUUGACAUGGAUCGGGAGCGCUCAGAGAUGGGUGUGCCUCUUUUGGGGUCGGUUCACAGGUGGUGCAUGGCUGUCGUCAGCUCGUGUCGUGAGAUGUUGGGUUAAGUCCCGCAACGAGCGCAACCCUUGUUCACUGUUGCCAGCACGUUAUGGUGGGGACUCAGUGGAGACCGCCGGGGUCAACUCGGAGGAAGGUGGGGAUGACGUCAAGUCAUCAUGCCCUUUAUGUCCAGGGCUUCACGCAUGCUACAAUGGCUGGUACAGAGAGUGGCGAGCCUGUGAGGGUGAGCGAAUCUCGGAAAGCCGGUCUCAGUUCGGAUUGGGGUCUGCAACUCGACCUCAUGAAGUCGGAGUCGCUAGUAAUCGCAGAUCAGCAACGCUGCGGUGAAUACGUUCCCGGGGCU
rnacentral:rRNA from 1 species